rnacentral:rRNA from 1 species
AUUGAACGCUAGCGGGAUGCCUUACACAUGCAAGUCGAACGGAGUGGCGAACGGGUGAGUAAUGUAUCGGAACGUGCCCAGUAGCGGGGGAUAACUACGCGAAAGCGUAGCUAAUACCGCAUACUAUUGGAGCGGCCGAUCUCGGAUUAGCUAGUUGGUGGGGUAACGGCUCACCAAGGCGACGAUCCGUAGCUGGUUUGAGAGGACGACCAGCCAAAACGGGACGGAGACACGGCCCAGAAUCCCAAGGGGGGGAGCAGGGGGGAAUUUUGGACAAUGGGGGAAACCCUGAUCCAGCCAUCCCGCGUGUGCGAUGAAGGCCUUCGGGUUGUAAAGCACUUUUGGCAGGAAAGCGGUACCUGCAGAAUAAGCACCGGCUAACUACGUGCCAGCAGCCGCGGUAAUUC